GGUGGCUCAGUGGUAGAGUGCUUGCCUUGCAUGCAUGAGGCCUUGGGUUAGAAUCCUUAGCACCA
rnacentral:tRNA from 1 species